UUAUAUACACCAAAUUCAACACUUGAAGUUUCAGGAAAUACGUAAAUGCAAGUAAAAAAACAGAAUCGACCAAAUAAAGGUCCGGAAAAAGCAAAUGAUGGAGCUCAGCUACUAUAGAAGACAACAACAGUAGAUUUUCGACAUCAACAACUUUCAAAACCCAUAAAAAGAGAUUGAUACUCAAAAUCCCAAGCUAUCGAGUGGACUUCAGUUUUCUCCUUGAAAUCUCAAUUUUCUUUUUGUUUUCCAGACCUUUUGUUUUCCAUAUCUCAAAAAUGAAGUUUUGAAUUUCAAAUUUUUUAUUUUUCAGAUGCAUGUGAAGGUUUGUGUGUGCUUGUGAAUUUUUCAGAUGUGUGUGAAUGGAUGUCAAAAAGCCAAAAGCGUGAAGAGAGAGGUCUUUUUGUAGAUUUGAAAUGCCAUCUCUUCUCAAUUUUCUUUUCUUUAAAUCAUUUCCUUUUUCAAUUUUUACUCCUUAAGGACCUAAGAGCCGAUAUGUUUUCACUCUUUUCAUGCUAAACAACCCAUAUUCCCUCUUUCCAGCAGUUUCCUAGUUAGUUCGGCUGAGAUUACCUAAGUCUAUUCCCUUAAAUGCCCCUUAAACCCUUGUUAUUUUCUAUUUUCAACACCUCCUUUUUCCUUCUUACUUCCCCUUUUUACCUCUACAUUCUUUCUAGGCCAAAUACAUAUACAACCCAUUCAACUUGGUAUCAUUUUUAUUUUGGCACUCUAUUUCAACCUUGUUUCAUUUUGGCCCUCCAACUCUACUUCUUAUAUUUUAUUUUAACACAAAAGCUAAAACCAGUACAAAAAAAUAUAGCGCGUGUGUAUACACAAAUCUAAGGUGUAAUAAAUAUCCAAUUAAAUGUUGCUCAUCCUUGUCAAACGUGUCAAUACUAAAAUACCCGAUCCGGAUUUUUUGGUGUCCAUGAUACUUUCGGUUCAACUUGAAAUCCACAAGAAUAAAUAUCCAUUUCAUUAUGAAAAAAUAAUUUUCUUUAAGACUUGGAUUCACUUCAAACUUCAAGCUUAUAUGAAAUAAAUGAUGAAAAAAAUCAGGUGGCGACAUUUAAUUGGAUAUUUAUUACACCUCAGAUUUGUGUAUACACGCGCGCUAUAUUUUUUUGCUCCGGUUUCAGCUUUUGUGUUAAAAUAAAAUAUAAGAAAUUGAAUUGGAGGGCCAAAAUGAAACAAGGCUGAGAUAGAGUGCCAAAUAAAAAAUGGAGCCAAGUUGAAUGGGUUGUUUAUGAGUUUGGCCUCUUUCUAUUGUUGUUUUUACCUCAACAUGCUCUCAAAUCAAUGGUCCUAAACCAACAGAUCAUAUCGACAUGGGCCCGACCUAUUACCUUCCUUCAUUUUGACAAACAAAAUAAUUCAAACCACUCAAACCUUUAAUGAAUAACUAAAGAUGAUUUUAAAACAAUCAGCAAUUAGUUGCAUUUAAGCAAAAGUGCAUGCUGGAUUGGGGCUAAUUAUGCCAAAGCAACAAAACAAUCAAUCAAAAUUCAAUAUUCAUUUAUCCCUUAGCAAGAAUAUGUGUAACUAACUAACGAUUCAUUUAAAGUUUAAUUGUGAAUAACCAAAUAGAUUCAAUUGACUAAAUGGAUUCAAACAAAGAAAUGAAACAUGCAAUUGAGAAUAAUUGUGGGGAAAAGGGAAGGAAGUAUACCUAUUUGGACCAAAAUAACACGGCCAAAUGAAUUCCGGCGAUCUAGAGGUAUUGUUGCACGAGAACUGGCCGAAAUCUCUUUGGGAGCCAAUGCUACGCGUAGCAAUGCCUCCUACUUUGCCGGAGGAAGAAGAAACGAUGUGUCACGACCCCGAAUCCCAACCUUAGAGCCGUGAUAGUGCAUAACAUUUCACUUGCUAGGAAGUCCAACGUUAGCUAAUUACUUAACCAGUUUUAACACUUCAAAAUAGAAUAUUAAUAAUACAAAGCUGUAAUAGUCUAAAAUAGGUGUGAUAAAGACGACAUAACGUAUUAAGCUCUACCUCAAGUGUCUGAAAGCAUUUGAAUCCGAGCAGUCUUCGCUACGUGCCAUUGGGACCAAAACCAGUAUAUGCUCAAGAAGUGCAGAAGUAUAGCAUGAGUACAACCAACCCAAUAUACUCUAUAAGUACCAAGCCUAACCUCGACGAAGUAAUGACUAAGCUAUGUCAAGUUAUUCACAAUAAACCUAUACGAAAUAAUAAUAACAACAGAAAACAGGAAUAGAAAUAAUGCAGUAAACUCAAGUAACCCGGACCCAUAGGUCACCUACCAGAUGGCCCCAGAAGAACAUAAUCUCAAAUCUUAUAUCACUAUAUCGAGAACAAUCUCUACAACUACAAAUAACUUACGACACAUCAAAUCCAUUCCGGCGCGCAACCCGAUCCAACCAUAUCAUAACCUACUCUUAUUAUAUUCCAUCCUUAUUUCUCAUAUCAUUUCAAUACUUUUGUGGAGUGCAACCCGAUCCUAACAAUAUAUAUUCAUUUCAGUACCUUUACGGCCUGCAACCUGAUCCCACAAUAUCAAAUUAUUAACUUAAACAAUUCAACACCACUCUUUACGAACUAGCAACACAAAAGAGAAUGAAACAUACAGAGCAUUAACAAACUACCAAUAAAAACGGAGAUUAUCCAACACUACUAAGGCUACCAUGAACAAGGGGCAGCUACGACCGGAAUGCGGGUGCGUCUUCAAAUCCAGCUCCCGUCGAUCACAGCAAUAUCAGCAUCCAAUAUCUGCACGCAAGCUGCAGAAGUGUAGUAUGAGUACAACUGACCCUAUGUACUCAAUAAGUAACAAUCCUAACCUUAGGCUGAAAGUAGUGACGAGCUGGAACAAAGGUCAGGGUCCAACACCAAAAGCGAACAACAAUUCAUAAAAAUAUAAUGAAAGUAAUACCAGUAAUAAUUCAAUAAUAAAAUGCUCAGCCCGUAUACAAUUCCGAAAAAUAAACAUUUUUUUUCAAUUAUAACAGUAAAACUCAAAUCUUUUGCCGAAAUCACCAAAGUAUGAGUAAGUCUGAAAUUUGUGAUUUUUCUCAAAGCUUUCAACAAGUAUAUGUUUCAUUUUCAAAUGGCAUGAGGAAAAUACAUCUUUAUGCUUACAUAUCAAUAUGUAUGAAAGUCACGAAUGACGUGAUACCGUACAACAUGAGAAAAAAUGCAUCUCAAUACAUGUAUGUCAAGUGUGCAUGUCGAAUGCGAUGCAACUCAGUGACAAAACCAUAUGCAUACUAUCAGAGUAUCAAUUCACUCAGUCCUCCCAAUCACUCAGUCCUCACAGUCACUCAAUCCUCCCAAUCGCUCAGCACUUGGCAUUCGCACUCAGUAGGUACCUGCGCUCACCGGGGGUGUGUACAGACUCCGGAGGGGCUCCUUCAUCCCAAGCGCUAUAAUCUGUACGGACAACUCACGUGCUAUAAUAAGACAAUCUGACCUACUGCGGCAUGCAACCCGAUCCUAUAAUAAUAAAGUAUAUAAAGCCAAUAUGGCCUACUACGCGACAUGCAGCCCGAUCCCAUAAUUAUCCUCACAAUCAGUCCCUUGACCACAUUCAGUCAAUAAUCUCUCCAAUCUCUCGGGCUCACAAUGUCAUGAAACUAGCCCAAAAUGAUGAUAUGAUGAAUCAAUCAAUAGCAACAGAGACUGAGAGAUGAUAUGAAAUGAAUGAAUAUGACUAAGUAUGAAGUUAUAAUUUAAGCAAAUAAAUCGACAGCAGAAAUAACCUCAGUGAGUCCCAAUAAUACUAACAUUGGCCUAAGCAUUAUUUCUAACAUGAGUAACAACUCGAUAACUCUAGUACAUAGAGAUUUCAUGAUUACAGAUAAGUUCAGGUAACUACAAAGUACCACAGGAAUAACAGAGUCACAGUUCGAACGGUGCAUGCCUACACGCCUAUCCCCUAGCAUGUGCGUCACCUCAACACUAAACACAUAACACAUAUAAUAAGGGUUCAUACCCUCAGCUCCAAGAUUCGAAGAGUUACUUACCUCGAACAAGUCGAAUCUAUUUCCGAGCAAGAUCAACAAAGCUCCAGAAAUUCCAUUCUGCGCGUAUCAACUUACGAACGCUUCCUAUCUCCUCAAUUCAAGCCAAACAAUCUGUAUCUAUUCCAAUAACAUGCAAAUAAAUCACAAUUUAUUCCAAUGCUUAUAAUUUAAAAAUUUACAAAAAUUCUCAACUUCGCUAGAUAAAUCGACAGUGGGGCCCACGUCUUGAAAUCUGACGAAACUCACAAAAUCUGACAACCCAUUCAAUUACGAAUUCAACCAUAGUAAUUUCACUCAAAUCCUACUCCGAAUCGAUGUUCAAAUCUCGGAAAUUCAUUUUUAUGAAAUUGUAAAAAAUUCCUCUGAUUUCUCUUUGAAAAAUCAAUAAUCUAACGCCGAAAAUGAAGAUUAAUUUAUGGAAUAUAAUCCAAAAGGAGUCAAGUAUAUUUAUCCAAAGUUGUGUUUAAAAAUUUCACUCCAAAGUCGCCCAAAUCGAGCCCCAAAAUCCGAGAAUGGAUAAAAAUGUUGAACCCUCGAAUAUAAGGCAUUCUGCCCACCGAUUCUGCAUAUGCGAUAAAAAUGUCGAAUUUGCGACCUCCGUUUAUGCGGAUAAAAUCUCGCCUCUGCGAAGCCCAUGGAGACCGGCCCUUCCGCACUUGCGGACAUUUUCCGCCUCUACACACGCGCAGGUGCGCCAACUAACUCCCGCUUCUGCGGCUAAUCUUACGCUUCUGCGGACGCGCAUAUGCGCCCUAACUUCCGCUUCUGAGGUCUUCCUCACCAGCUCACACCUCACUCCUGUGACUCCUAUAUCGCUUCUGCGACCAUCGCACCUACGCAACCCAGCCGCAAGUGCGAUCACACCAGAACCAGCAACAGAAAAAUUCUAGCAUUUCCUAAGUCUGAAUUGUUCUGUUAAUCUUCCGAAACUUAUUCGAGGCCUCCGGGACCUCCACCAAAUACACCAACAAGUCCUAAAACAUCAUAUGAACUUAGUAGAACCUCUAACUCACAUCAAACAACGCUAAAAUCACUAAUCAUACCCCAAUUCAAGCUUAAUGAAACUAAGAAUUUUCAACUUCUACAUUCGAUGCCGAAACCUAUCAAAUCAAGUCUGAUUGACCUCAAAUUUUGUACACAAGUCAUAAAUGACAUAACAGACCUAUUCAAAUUUUCAGAACUGGAUUCCGACCCUGAUAUCAAAAAGUCAACUCCCCGGUCAAACUUUCAAACUUAAACUUCAUAUUUUAGCCAUUUCAAGCCUAAUUUAAUUACAGACUUCCAAAUAAUUUUUCGAACACGCUCCUAAGUCCAAAAUCACCAUAUGGAGCUAUUGAAAUCAUCAAAACUCUAUUUUGGGAUCGUUUACACAUAAGUCAAUAUUCAGUCAACCUUUUCAACUUAUAUUUUAAACAUUGAAACUAAGUGCUCCAAUUCAUUCCUAAACCUCACCGGACCUCCCGACAAGUCACAUAAUAGUUAUAAAGCACAAAUUAAGUAGUAAAUGGGGGAAUGGGGUUGAAAUACUCAAAACGACCGGCCGAGUCGUUAUAUUUUCCCCCACUUAAACAUACAUUCAUCCUCGAACGUGCCAAGAGUUGUUCCUAAGCCUUUAAACCACUAUUCCACCUUCCCACACACAUACCCGGGGUGAUCCCACGUCAUCCUAUUCCAUAUGGGCCUGACAACGUGACAUAAUUGAAGAUUAUUCCUUUAACCUUAGUUCGUAAAACUUAGAACCAAAUUUCAAACGUUCAGAAUUUCUCACAAGACCCGAAUCUCAUAUCUACACACUGUAUAAGUCUGAACAGGCUGUAUCAUCCAUAAUCAUAACCUAGAUAUAAUCACAUAACAUACUACACAACUCGCAACACCAUUUCCGUUCACAGUAAUUACUCAAAACCAACCUGGUACUAGUAUUAACCACAUAUCAAACAAAACCUCAUUCCCAAAACCUUUAUACACUGCUGAUAAUGAAAGAAGCACGCGAAAUCUCAUAACCACUUAUCAGAUCAAUUAGUCAUGGAGCUCUCUCGCCCCAAUCGGAACCAUAAUCACUUUCUAAGUCGGCUUUCAAUAUUAUCCUCCCAAAUAUACCGUAAUCAAACCUAAUAGUACCCAUUCUAGGUCCAAUGACCUUAUAUUAUUAAACACAACUAUCCCACAGACACGCCACAUCAAUAACUUAAGCCACAACUGCGCAAUUAGUGUACCCAAAUAUGGGAGAUGUCUCAAGGAAGAGAACCGUAUUGCAAGUCAACAAGCACCACCACAACCUCAAUGUUACAACCAACUCCUCAAAUUUUGUGAAGAGGAUAACCGUAGGUGCAUGUGCAUAAUUGUAGAGGAUGAAAAUUAAUGAAUCAGAUAAAUUAUCAUAGAAAUAAAAUUCCCACACACGACACAGACAACUCACAUGCCAAUAAUAUAUAUCGCCUGACAUGGUCACAGGCCUCCAGUCCCGACAUAUCAUACAGGAGCAAUUAAACAAGUACACAUGUAUAUGAUAAUGAAAUAAGAUUCUCAACAAAGGUACGAACCCGACAAACGUUAUAACUUUAUGCUUAACAGUCAACUCUAGGCAUAUCAUAGCCUAAGCAUUCUUCCGAGUAUGAAUACUUGCCCCGAUGCCUGCACAUGGGCUCAAACCUCACAUAUAUGCACACUCAUAGCGCGUAGCUAUCACAAAUAAUUAACGCAACUAGUUCCUCCACUGAGUUUAAAUAAGAUACUCACCUCAAACAGGUCGCAAUCCUAAAAUAAUAUGCUUCUGAGAACUCCCAGUCUCCAAAUUCAUAGAACACAUAAAUUACCGUAACUGAUCCUAACUCCAGCACUCGAAUGACUAACACAUUGUUCAUGCACCAUCAUCCCACGAGGAAUACUUUCAUAAUUGUUCCGUGCCACAUAGAAAUAAUUUGAAUAUCAGCAGUCUAUUAACCAGGUGAGUAUCGCAAUACCGAUGAACAUCCGUAAGUCAAAAUACAAUGCGUAUUUUGAAAUGCGCACCCUUCUCAGGAAUUACCGAGUAGUUAUAACAUUCAUCUAAAUAUCUGAAACUGACCAUGCUAUUCUACCGUAAUUAAUAUCAAAGAGAACAUCAUUCAAACUUUUGCAUUAUAUACACCAAAUUCAACACUUGAAGUUUCAGAAAAUACGUAGAUGCAAGUAAAAAAACAGAAUCGACCAAAUAAAGGUCAGGAAAAAGCAAAUGAUGGAGCUCAGCUACUAUAGAAGACAACAACAGUAGAUUUUUGACAUCAGCAACUUUCGAAACCCAUAAAAUAAGAUUGAUACUCAAAAUCCCAAGCUAUCGAGUGGACUUCAGUUUUCUCCUUGAAAUCUCAAUUUUCUUUUUGUUUUCCAUAUCUCAAAAAUGAAGUUUUGAAUUUCAAAUUUUUUAUUUUUUCAGAUGCAUGUGAAGGUUUGUGUGUGCUUGUGAAUUUUUCAGAUGUGUGUGAA
rnacentral:lncRNA from 1 species